rnacentral:rRNA from 1 species
GUAAAGUGGCGCACGGGUGAGUAACGCGUAAGAUAACCUGUCUUCAUGGUCUGGAAUAAUACGCCGAAAGGGGUACUAAUACCGGAUAUUCUUGCUUUUCAUAAGUUAUGCAAGCAAAGGUGGCCUCUGCAUAUGCUACUGCAUGAAGAGGGGUCUGCGUACCAUUAGCCAGUAGGUGGGGUAAUGGCCUACCUAGGCGACGAUGGUUAGCGGGUCUGAGAGGAUGAUCCGCCACACUGGCACUGGAACACGGGCCAGACUCCUACGGGAGGCAGCAGUGAGGAAUAUUGCGCAAUGGGGGAAACCCUGACGCAGCGACGCCGCGUGAGUGAGGAAGGCCUUCGGGUCGUAAAGCUCUGUCAAGAGGAAAGAAGUGUACAAUGGCUAAUACCUGUUGUAUUUGACGGUACCUCUAAAGGAAGCACCGGCUAACUCCGUGCCAGCCGCCGC